UACGGCUGCUCAGUAACACGUAGUCAACCUAACCUAUGGACGGGAAUAACCUCGGGAAACUGAGAAUAAUGCCCGAUAGAACACUAUACCUGGAAUGGUUUGUGUUCCAAAUGAUUUAUCGCCGUAGGAUGGGACUGCGGCCUAUCAGUUUGUUGGUGAGGUAAUGGCCCACCAAGACUAUUACAGGUACGGGCUCUGAGAGGAGUAGCCCGGAGAUGGGUACUGAGACACGGACCCAGGCCCUAUGGGGCGCAGCAGGCGAGAAAACUUUGCAAUGUGCGAAAGCACGACAAGGUUAAUCCGAGUGGUUUCUGCUAAAGGAACCUUUUGUUAGUCCUAGAAACACUAACGAAUAAGGGGUGGGCAAGUUCUGGUGUCAGCCGCCGCGAUAAAACCAGCACCUCAAGUGGUCAGGAUGAUUAUUGGGCCUAAAGCAUCCGUAGCCGGCUCUGUAAGUUUUCGGUUAAAUCUGUACGCUCAACGUACAGGCUGCCGGGAAUACUGCAGAGCUAGGGAGUGGGAGAGGUAGACGGUACUCGGGAGGAAGUGGUAAAAUGCUUUGAUCUCUCGAUGACCACCUGUGGCGAAGGCGGUCUACCAGAACACGUCCGACGGUGAGGGAUGAAAGCUGGGGGAGCAAACCGGAUUAGAUACCCGGGUAGUCCCAGCUGUAAACUAUGCAAACUCAGUGAUGCAUUGGCUUGUGGCCAAUGCAGUAUUGCAGGGAAGCCGUUAAGUUUGCCGCCUGGGAAGUACGUACGCAAGUAUGAAACUUAAAGGAAUUGGCGGGGGAGCAG
rnacentral:rRNA from 1 species